rnacentral:rRNA from 1 species
CUACGGGUUGCUGCAGUGGGGGAUAUUGCACAAUGGGCGAAAGCCUGAUGCAGCAACGCCGCGUGAAGGAAGACGGUUUUCGGAUUGUAAACUUCUAUCAGCUGGGAAGAAAAUGACGGUACCAGACUAAGAAGCCCCGGCUAACUAUGUGCCAGCAGCCGCGGUAAUACAUAGGGGGCAAGCGUUAUCCGGAAUUACUGGGUGUAAAGGGUACGUAGGCGGCUGAUCAAGUCAGAUGUGAAAGCCCGGAGCUCAACUCCGGGAUUGCAUUUGAAACUGGUCGGGUAGAGUGCAGGAGAGGAAAGUGGAAUUCCUAGUGUAGCGGUGAAAUGCGUAGAUAUUAGGAAGAACACCAGUGGCGAAGGCGGCUUUCUGGACUGUAACUGACGCUGAGGUACGAAAGCGUGGGGAGCGAACAGGAUUAGAUACCGCGUAGUC